GUCUCUUCUCCAUCAAAUAGAAUGAAGAAAAGACUUUAAGAAGUUUUGUGGCACGUUUCAACACUACCAUGCUUGAAGUCUGAGACCUCAACGAGGAUAUGGCCAUCUCGACUAUGAAGAGGGGGCUCAGAAGUUUCAGAUUUUCUUACUACCUGGAUAAGACGCUCUCUCAGACGUAUGCACGUACAAAUAUAUCUGCAC
rnacentral:lncRNA from 1 species